GUGUCAGCAGCCGCGGUAAUACAGAGGGGGCAAGCGUUGUUCGGAAUUACUGGGCGUAAAGGGCGCGUAGGCGGCCCGCUAAGUCGAACGUGAAAUCCCCAGGCUCAACCUGGGAACUGCGUCCGAUACUGGCAGGCUUGAAUCCGGGAGAGGGAUGUGGAAUUCCAGGUGUAGCGGUGAAAUGCGUAGAUAUCUGGAGGAACACCGGUGGCGAAGGCGGCAUCCUGGACCGGUAUUGACGCUGAGGCGCGAAAGCUAGGGGAGCAAACGGGAUUAGAAACCCCGGUAGUCC
rnacentral:rRNA from 1 species